rnacentral:rRNA from 1 species
GUUAGUUGCUAACGCGUGAAGGCGAGCACUCUAGACGAACUGCCGUUGACAAAACGGAGGAAGGUGGGAUGACGUCAAAUCAUCAUGCCCCUUAUGUUCUGGGCUACACACGUGCUACAAUGGCCGGUACAGACGGACGCAAAGCCGCGAGGUGGAGCAAAUCCUAAAAAGCCGGUCUCAGUUCGGAUUGCAGGCUGCAAUUCGCCUGCAUGAAGUCGGAAUCGCUAGUAAUCGCAGGUCAGCAUACUGCGGUGAAUCCGUUCCCGGGCCUU